rnacentral:tRNA from 1 species
GCGGUGACAACACAUGAUGAGUCGCCGCCAGCUUCCCAAGCUGGACGUCGCCGGUUCGAAUCCGGUCGCCCGCUCCA